rnacentral:rRNA from 1 species
GGAUGCCUUGGCACUAGAAGCCGAUGAAGGACGUUACUAACGACGAUAUGCUUUGGGGAGCUGUAAGUAAGCUUUGAUCCAGAGAUUUCCGAAUGGGGAAACCCAGCAUGAGUUAUGUCAUGUUAUCGAUAUGUGAAUACAUAGCAUAUCAGAAGGCACACCCGGAGAACUGAAACAUCUUAGUAACCGGAGGAAGAGAAAGAAAAUUCGAUUCCCUUAGUAGCGGCGAGCGAAACGGGAAGAGCCCAAACCAACAAGCUUGCUUGUUGGGGUUGUAGGACACUCUAUACGGAGUUACAAAGGACGACAUUAGACGAAUCAUCUGGAAAGAUGAAUCAAAGAAGGUAAUAAUCCUGUAGUCGAAAAUGUUGUCUCUCUUGAGUGGAUCCUGAGUACGACGGAGCACGUGAAAUUCCGUCGGAAUCUGGGAGGACCAUCUCCUAAGGCUAAAUACUCUCUAGUGACCGAUAGUGAACCAGUACCGUGAGGGAAAGGUGAAAAGCACCCCGGAAGGGGAGUGAAAUAGAACCUGAAACCGUGUGCUUACAAGUAGUCAGAGCCCGUUAAUGGGUGAUGGCGUGCCUUUUGUAGAAUGAACCGGCGAGUUACGAUUUGAUGCAAGGUUAAGCAGUAAAUGUGGAGCCGUAGCGAAAGCGAGUCUGAAUAGGGCGUUUAGUAUUUGGUCGUAGACCCGAAACCAGGUGAUCUACCCUUGGUCAGGUUGAAGUUCAGGUAACACUGAAUGGAGGACCGAACCGACUUACGUUGAAAAGUGAGCGGAUGAACUGAGGGUAGCGGAGAAAUUCCAAUCGAACCUGGAGAUAGCUGGUUCUCUCCGAAAUAGCUUUAGGGCUAGCCUCAAGUGAUGAUUAUUGGAGGUAGAGCACUGUUUGGACGAGGGGCCCCUCUCGGGUUACCGAAUUCAGACAAACUCCGAAUGCCAAUUAAUUUAACUUGGGAGUCAGAACAUGGGUGAUAAGGUCCGUGUUCGAAAGGGAAACAGCCCAGACCACCAGCUAAGGUCCCAAAAUAUAUGUUAAGUGGAAAAGGAUGUGGCGUUGCCCAGACAACUAGGAUGUUGGCUUAGAAGCAGCCAUCAUUUAAAGAGUGCGUAAUAGCUCACUAGUCGAGUGACACUGCGCCGAAAAUGUACCGGGGCUAAACAUAUUACCGAAGCUGUGGAUUGUCCUUUGGACAAUGGUAGGAGAGCGUUCUAAGGGCGUUGAAGCAUGAUCGUAAGGACAUGUGGAGCGCUUAGAAGUGAGAAUGCCGGUGUGAGUAGCGAAAGACGGGUGAGAAUCCCGUCCACCGAUUGACUAAGGUUUCCAGAGGAAGGCUCGUCCGCUCUGGGUUAGUCGGGUCCUAAGCUGAGGCCGACAGGCGUAGGCGAUGGAUAACAGGUUGAUAUUCCUGUACCACCUAUAAUCGUUUUAAUCGAUGGGGGGACGCAGUAGGAUAGGCGAAGCGUGCGAUUGGAUUGCACGUCUAAGCAGUAAGGCUGAGUAUUAGGCAAAUCCGGUACUCGUUAAGGCUGAGCUGUGAUGGGGAGAAGACAUUGUGUCUUCGAGUCGUUGAUUUCACACUGCCGAGAAAAGCCUCUAGAUAGAAAAUAGGUGCCCGUACCGCAAACCGACACAGGUAGUCAAGAUGAGAAUUCUAAGGUGAGCGAGCGAACUCUCGUUAAGGAACUCGGCAAAAUGACCCCGUAACUUCGGGAGAAGGGGUGCUCUUUAGGGUUAACGCCCAGAAGAGCCGCAGUGAAUAGGCCCAAGCGACUGUUUAUCAAAAACACAGGUCUCUGCUAAACCGUAAGGUGAUGUAUAGGGGCUGACGCCUGCCCGGUGCUGGAAGGUUAAGAGGAGUGGUUAGCUUCUGCGAAGCUACGAAUCGAAGCCCCAGUAAACGGCGGCCGUAACUAUAACGGUCCUAAGGUAGCGAAAUUCCUUGUCGGGUAAGUUCCGACCCGCACGAAAGGCGUAACGAUUUGGGCACUGUCUCAACGAGAGACUCGGUGAAAUCAUAGUACCUGUGAAGAUGCAGGUUACCCGCGACAGGACGGAAAGACCCCGUGGAGCUUUACUGUAGCCUGAUAUUGAAAUUCGGCACAGCUUGUACAGGAUAGGUAGGAGCCUUUGAAACGUGAGCGCUAGCUUACGUGGAGGCGCUGGUGGG